UACGUAGGGGCCAAGCGUUGUCCGGAUUUAUUGGGCGUAAAGAGCUCGUAGGCGGUUGGGUAAGUCGGGUGUGAAAACUCCAGGCUCAACUUGGAGAUGCGACCCGAUACUGCUCUGACUUGAGUUCGGUAGGGGAGUGGGGAAUUCCUGGUGUAGCGGUGAAAUGCGCAGAUAUCAGGAGGAACACCGGUGGCGAAGGCGCCACUCUGGGCCGAAACUGACGCUGAGGAGCGAAAGCGUGGGUAGCAAACAGG
rnacentral:rRNA from 1 species